ACCCACGCGACUCUCUGUCGCACAGGAGAGAGAUUACUGCUUGAUUGUAUAUUGAUGUCUUGUUUGUACCAGCUAUUGUUAUCCAUAAACAAAUAAAUAAAUAAAUAAAUAAAUAAAAAAACAGUAGAGAGAUUACCGUAUGCACAGGAGGAGAAGCUCGCGCGCAAUCGGGGAAACGUGGAGGCAAAAUGACUAAAUAAUUAAUCAGAAUACCUAGCAGAAGUGUCUCCUUCUCCUCGAUCACGGACAUCUCCUACUCACACUCUCCGUCUCUCUGCAUAUUUCAGAAGGGAUGAUUCAUUUUGGGUUGAUCUGCUGUCGAUCGUCACUGAAUUACAUCUGGAUCCAUCAUCUCUGGCGUCACAGAUGAAGCAUCACACGGCGGCUCCGAGCGUCCAAUUGCAUCUCUGUGGGACUGUUUGAGGUUUGGACCAACAUAAGGAUCACAGCGCCGGCGUCACGUCUUCCAGAAGUUUGGAUUCUGCAGCAGUCGCCUCUGAAAGUUUUCAUACCUGUAAGAAACACAAUAUCAUCACUGAACACACACACACACCUGAGGCUGAUCUGAACACACACUCACCAUCUGAGGAUGGAGCUCGCAGGAACGAACAUCUCUGAAGGGUUAGGGGUCAUCUGGGACUGCGACAGCGCGAACGAGGAGGUGAAGUUGUAGAAGCUCUCCAGCAUCUUCUGUGUGAACUGAGGAAACAACCAGCAGCUCGUCUCAGUGACGAUUCAGCUCACACACAGGUCUCUGUUUCUGCAGAUUCAGCUCACACACAGGUCUCGGGUGAAUAUCUCUGUGUUAUCUCUGACCUGUGUGAAGGAGUCGACGGUGGAGACGGAGGAGUGUGAAACUGGGGUCUGUUGUGCGAGAAGAUCCAGAGACUCAACGGAGACUCCGACCUGAGCGACUGAAGGAACCUGAGAAGCGGCCAUCAUCCCGAACGGAUGCGCACCACCCUCGCCUGGAACACACACACACACACACACACGUGGUUUCGAUGAUGUCUGAUAUUCUGAGCAGAUUCUAUGUUCUCCUGUGAUUAGCAGGUGUAUGUCAAGUGAUUUAAAGGGGUUUUACACCGAAGGCUCACCAGCUUUCAGCCCGGAGAUCUUGAAGAUGGCGCUGGGCUUGUCGUUGGUGAUGAAGCCCAGGAGCUGCCAGACCGGGCCGAGCGCAGGGUCCGGGAAGGAGAAGUACACCGCGCCACCCAUGCCGGCCGGGAAGGGCACCGUGCCCAGCAGGAACACCACCACGUGAUGCACUCGCUCGCAGUCCGGCAGGUCGAACACAAACUUAUCCGCGGAGACCUGCUGCGCGUCCGUCUGGACCUGAAACACACCACAGCAAGACCAGAUCAAAACCAGAUCAAAACCAGAUCAAGACCAGAAGAAGACCAGAUCAAGACCAGAGGAAGAUCAGAGCUAAACCAGAUCAAGACCAGAGCAAGAUCAGAGCUAAACCAGAUCAAGAUCAAGAUCAGAGCUAAACCAGAUCAAGAUCAGAGCUAAACCAGAUCAAGACCAGAGGAAGACCAGAUCAAGAUCAGAGCUAAACCAGAUCAAGACCAGAGCAAAACCAGAUCAAGAUCAGAGCAAAACCAGACCAAGAUCAGAGCUAAACCAGAUCAAGAUCAUAGCUAAACCAGAUCAAGAUCAGAGCUAAACCAGAUCAAGACCAGAGCAAAACCAGACCAAGAUCAGAUCAAGAUCAGAGCUAAACCAGAUCAAGAUCAUAGCUAAACCAGAUCAAGAUCAGAGCUAAACCAGAUCAAGAUCAGAGCUAAACCAGAUCAAGACCAGAGCUAAACCAGAUCAAGACCAGAGCAAAACCAGAUCAAGAUCAGAUCAAGAUCAGAGCAAAACCAGAUCAAGACCAGAGCUAAACCAGAUCAAGACCAGAGCAAAACCAGAUCAAGAUCAGAGCUAAACCAGAUCAAGACCAGAUCAAGAUCAGAUCAAGAUCAGAGCAAAACCAGAUCAAGAUCAGAGCUAAACCAGAUCAAGACCAGAGCAAAACCAGAUCAAGAUCAGAUCAAGAUCAGAGCUAAACCAGAUCAAGACCAGAGGAAGAUCAGAGCUAAACCAGAUCAUCCCGCUUUGCGUUGUAACUAAGGCACUUUCACCACUUGUCCCUCAUUUUCAUCAGUCUAUUGGUUUUUAACGAUCAUAUUAAGAAAACGUUUUUAAGAAAGCAUUUAAUUAUUAUUUUUGCAGUAGUUUUCCCCCUAUAUUUAACAGCGCUUCGUCUAAGUAGCCUACAAAUACAACAGCCGUUUUUAUAUCUUAUCCAAUGGUUGAAAAGAAAGGAGUAAACACGGCCACUAGGUUCUGACAGCUGUCAAUCAAAAUGUGGACCGGUGAUUCGUUUCAAAUGUUCCCUGUCAGAAAACAAAUGGAUAAUUCGGUCAAUUAAAAUUUUGUAAUUUAACAGA